GUUAAGUCCCGCAACGAGCGCAACCCUUAUCCUUUGUUGCCAGCGAUUAGGUCGGGAACUCAAAGGAGACUGCCAGUGAUAAACUGGAGGAAGGUGGGGAUGACGUCAAGUCAUCAUGGCCCUUACGACCAGGGCUACACACGUGCUACAAUGGCGCAUACAAAGAGAAGCGACCUCGCGAGAGCAAGCGGACCUCAUAAAGUGCGUCGUAGUCCGGAUUGGAGUCUGCAACUCGACUCCAUGAAGUCGGAAUCGCUAGUAAUCGUGGAUCAGAAUGCCACGGUGAAUACGUUCCCGGGCCUUGUACACACCGCCCGUCACACCAUGGGAGUGGGUUGCAAAAGAAGUAGGUAGCUUAACCUUCGGGAGGGCGCUUACCACUUUGUGAUUCAUGACUGGGGUGAAGUCGUAACAAGGU
rnacentral:rRNA from 1 species